rnacentral:rRNA from 1 species
CCUUGUACACACCGCCCGUCACGCCAUGGAAGUUGGGAGUGCCCGAAGCCCGCGUCCUAACCCGCAAGGGAGGGUAACGGUCUAAGGCAAGCUUGAUGACUGGGGCGAAGUCGUAAACAAGGUACC